AUGAACGCUAGCGACAGGCUUAACACAUGCAAGUCGAGGGGCAGCGGGGAUGUAGCAAUACAUCUGCCGGCGACCGGCGCACGGGUGAGUAACGCGUAUGCAACCUGCCCUUCACUGGGGGAUAACCGGGAGAAAUUCCGACUAAUACCGCAUAUGAUGUCUGAACGAAUGUUCGGGUUUUGAAAGAUUUAUCGGUGAAGGAUGGGCAUGCGUGAUAUUAGGUAGUUGGCGGGGUAACGGCCCACCAAGCCGACGAUAUCUAGGGGUUCUGAGAGGAAGGUCCCCCACACUGGUACUGAGACACGGACCAGACUCCUACGGGAGGCAGCAGUGAGGAAUAUUGGUCAAUGGACGGGAGUCUGAACCAGCCAAGUCGCGUGAAGGAUGACGGCCCUACGGGUUGUAAACUUCUUUAGUGCGGGAACAAAUAAAGGCACGCGUGCCAUGUUGAGUGUACCGCAAGAAUAAGCAUCGGCUAACUCCGUGCCAGCAGCCGCGGUAAUACGGAGGAUGCGAGCGUUAUCCGGAUUUAUUGGGUUUAAAGGGUGCGCAGGCUGUCGUGCAAGUCAGCGGUCAAAUGUCGGGGCUCAACCCCGGCCUGCCGUUGAAACUGCAUGGCUGGCGUGAGUGUGAGGUAGGCGGAAUGCGUUGUGUAGCGGUGAAAUGCAUAGAUAUGACGCAGAACUCCGAUUGCGAAGGCAGCUUACCAACACUUUACGGACGCUGAGGCACGAAAGCGUGGGUAUCGAACAGGAUUAGAUACCCUGGUAGUCCACGCAGUAAACGAUGAAUACUAAUUGUUCGGGGGUCAACCCCUGAGUGAUACAGCGAAAGCGUUAAGUAUUCCACCUGGGGAGUACGCCGGCAACGGUGAAACUCAAAGGAAUUGACGGGGGCCCGCACAAGCGGUGGAGUAUGUGGUUUAAUUCGAAGCAACGCGAAGAACCUUACCAGGCCUUGACAUCCCUUGCAGAGGUAUAGAGAUAUAUCCGAGGUUAUCAAGGAGACAGGUGGUGCAUGGUUGUCGUCAGCUCGUGCCGUGAGGUGUCGGCUUAAGUGCCAUAACGAGCGCAACCCCUGCGUCCAGUUACCAUCAAGUAAAGUUGGGGACUCUGGACGGACUGCCGGCGCAAGCCGUGAGGAAGGCGGGGAUGACGUCAAAUCAGCACGGCCCUUACGUCCGGGGCGACACACGUGUUACAAUGGCGUGGAACAGCGGGAAGCCACCUGGCGACAGGGAGCGGACCCCUAAAACACGUCUCAGUUCGGAUUGGAGUCUGCAACUCGACUCCAUGAAGCUGGAUUCGCUAGUAAUCGCGCAUCAGCCAUGGCGCGGUGAAUACGUUCCCGGGCCUUGUACACACCGCCCGUCAAGCCAUGGGAGCCGGGAGUGCCUGAAGUACGUAACCGGAAGGAGCGUCCAAGGGUAACACUGGUGACUGGGGCU
rnacentral:rRNA from 1 species